CCUCGGUACUGGUUUGGCACAAGACUUCCCGAGCAGGACAUGUAAACCACAAAAUUUAGCGAGUAUCCAGGCUUUGCUUCUUGUGAGAUUAAUCGAAGAUGAUGGUCUUAAAAUGGUUUUACCACAAGAAAGCUUCUCCUACAAGGAUUAUACCUGUUGUCCUCCCCCCCGAGGCCUCACACUGCCAGUCUGAGGAGUAAAAUGAUAGAUCCUGAAGCUUUACCACAGAUCAUGGGGAGACAAGACAGACUCCUGAGCUCAUCCUCACCUGAUGAAGGGUCUUGAGAUGGCGAGGACGGUGCGGAUGAACCACGUGGGGUGAGCGAUGAUGAGACACUUCAGAUUCUUCCUCAGUCUGCAG